AUUGAACGCUGGCGGCAGGCCUAACACAUGCAAGUCGAGCGAGAGGCGGACGGGUGAGUAAUGUAUGGGGACUGCCCGUUAGAGGGGGAUAACUACUGGAAACGGUGGCUAAUACCGCAUACUAUCGGAUAACCCAUAUGGGAUUAGCUAGUUGGUGAGGUAAUGGCGCACCAAGGCGACGAUCCCUAGCUGGUCUGAGAGGAUGACCAGCCACACUGGGACUGAGACACGGCCCAGACGCCUACGGAGGCAGCAGUGGGGAAUGUUGCACAAUUGGCGCAAGCCGGAUGCAGCCAUGCCGCGUGUGUGAAGAAGGCCCUAGGGUUGUAAAGUACUUUAAGUCGGGAGGCGUUACCGACAGAAGAAGCACCGGCUAACUCCGUGCCAGCAGCCGCGGUAAUAC
rnacentral:rRNA from 1 species